rnacentral:rRNA from 1 species
AAGCGGUGGAGCAUGUGGUUUAAUUCGAUGAUACGCGAGGAACCUUACCUGGGCUCAAAUGUAUGUUGACGUAUUCUGAAAGGGAUACUUCUUCGGACAAUAUACAAGGUGCUGCAUGGUUGUCGUCAGCUCGUGCCGUGAGGUGUCGGGUUAAGUCCCAUAACGAGCGCAACCCCUAUCAUUAGUUGCCAUCAGGUCAAGCUGGGGACUCUAAUGAAACUGCCUACGCAAGUAGUGAGGAAGGUGGGGAUGACGUCAAAUCAGCACGGCCCUUACGUCCAGGGCUACACACGUGCUACAAUGGCCGAUACAGAGGGCAGCUACCUAGUGACAGGAUGCAAAUCUCCAAAGUCGGUCUCAGUUCGGAUCGGAGUCUGCAACCCGACUCCGUGAAGUUGGAUUCGCUAGUAAUCGCGCAUCAGCCAUGGCGCGGUGAAUACGUUCCCGGGCCUU